rnacentral:rRNA from 1 species
GACGAACGCUGGCGGCGUGCCUAAUACAUGCAAGUCGAGCGAAUCAAUAGGAGCUUGCUCCUGUUGGUUAGCGGCGGACGGGUGAGUAACACGUGGCAACCUGCCUGUAAGACUGGGAUAACUUCGGGAAACCGGAGCUAAUACCGGAUAAUCCUUUUCCACACAUGUGGGAAAGCUGAAAGUCGGUUUCGGCUGACACUUACAGAUGGGCCCGCGGCGCAUUAGCUAGUUGGUGAGGUAACGGCUCACCAAGGCGACGAUGCGUAGCCGACCUGAGAGGGUGAUCGGCCACACUGGGACUGAGACACGGCCCAGACUCCUACGGGAGGCAGCAGUAGGGAAUCUUCCGCAAUGGACGAAAGUCUGACGGAGCAACGCCGCGUGAGCGAUGAAGGCCUUCGGGUCGUAAAGCUCUGUUGUUAGGGAAGAACAAGUAUCGGAGUAACUGCCGGUACCUUGACGGUACCUAACCAGAAAGCCACGGCUAACUACGUG